UAUAUACUCCCUCCGUCCGGAAAUACUUGUCCUAGAAAUAGAUGUAUCUAGACUUAUUUUAGUUAUAGAUACAUUCAUUUUAUACAUUUCUAGGACAAGUAUUUCCGGACGAAGGGAGUAUAUC
rnacentral:pre_miRNA from 1 species